rnacentral:rRNA from 1 species
UGGGGAAUAUUGGGCAAUGGAGGAAACUCUGACCCAGCGACGCCGCGUGCGGGAUGAAGGCCUUCGGGUUGUAAACCGCUUUCAGUAGGGAAGAAGCGAAAGUGACGGUACCUACAAAAGAAGCACCGGCUAACUAUGUGCCAGCAGCCGCGGUAAUACAUAGGGUGCAAGCGUUGUCCGGAAUUAUUGGGCGUAAAGAGCAUGUAGGUGGUUUUGUGCGUCUUCUGUUAAGGCCCGGGGCCUAACCCCGGAAGUGCAGGAGAUACGGCAGAACUAGAGGAGGUUAGAGGUGCAUAGAACGCACGGUGUAGGGGUGAAAUCCGUUGAUAUCGUGCGGAAUACCAAAGGCGAAGGCAUUGCACUGGGACCUUCCUGACACUGAGAUGCGAAAGCGUGGGGAGCAAAAAGG